CGGCCAUUCAACGAUAGUGCACCCUCGACCUCACAAACGACGCAGCACUUGGAAUCCAGCAAUGCACCUGGACCAAGUAGACCUGCCGUCUCCACUGGGAUACCAUACUGCUCGGUUCCUCAAGCUCAUGCUACGCGCUCACAUUUUGUGAGAAAAAACAAGACCUGCAAACACUAUACAAAAGAUGUUGUGUGCUUGCCCUUGUCUUCAGCAUCAACGUUUCUCAUACCGAGAGGGGAUUCACGAGCAAAACUAGCACAAGAUGGCCUUAUUGGGAAGAUCUCCUUUACAUCUGACUGGUCUGAAGCACAACUUAGAGAAGAAAUAGCAGCAAUCUUCAGAAGAACAUUUGCACUGUCAACUGGCCAGACAUUCCCUUUUGAGUAUUUGAGUACAAUUAGAGGAUGUAAACGACUAAUGAAACCAAAUGUUUCUAGCAGUUUUCUUUGGGGUGGCCAAGAAGUUGGCUCGAUUUGUUCCACCACCUGCCUCUAUAUAAUGGCAGGGAUACAAAAACCUGCACAGGAGGAACCAGAAGAGCUGUCUGACAGUGACUUUGAAAGUCCAGUCUGCCGGAGAAGACGAGUGCAUCAUGCGUUGUCUACAACACCAGGUGAAAGUGAGGCCAAGCAUCAGGAAACAGAGAGCUGCAUUCAAGAGAGUGAAAAUGAGGGCCAGGCAGAGGGACAGCAGAUGUUUCCAUAUAAUGUGGCAGAAUUUGUCCCUAUUUUUCUGGAGGAAGAUGAAGCUCUUGAAGAGGCAAUUCAGCGUAGCCUCCUAGAAGAGUCUGAUAGACAGAGUGAAGUUCAUAUUUCAAGGUCUUUUAAGAAGCUCAGCAAAGAAGAAAUUGAAGGUCUUCUUAGAGCUCAUAGUGAGAAAGUCAUUACACCAGGAACAAGACAACUCCAUAUCAGUCGAGCCAAUGUGUGGUCGACUGCUUUGCGUCAGUUCAAGAGACCCAAGUUUGCAGAAAGCUGUGAGAUGCUUUAUGUCACAUUUGCAAGCGAUGAACAUGAUACAGAGGAAGAUGCUGCUGACCUUGGGGGGCCAAGGCGGGAGUUUUUCCGUUUACUGGUGAAGGCCAUCUUUCAG